rnacentral:lncRNA from 1 species
UUCGCGUGGCAGUCGGGUCUUUGUACCUAACCGUCUCGCCAUACGUUUUGCCGUCCUUGACUGAUGCUGCUCCUUUUAUUCUGGGGUCUGAUACUUUGCGUAAGCACUCUGCAUCCCUGGAUUUUCAGAACAAUAUUUUGCGUUUGUCAAAGGGUACUGUUCGGUACUCGAUUCCUUGGCGCGCGUCUUCUAAGGAUUCAGGUGACAGUGGUGCUGCCUCGUCGGCGCCCCUUGUUAAUUUUGCGGCUGCGGCCAUGUGUGCUCGAUACCACUUGUUGUAUCCACCUCCACUGUUUAGGUGGUAGUGAAA